CUGUGCUAGGUGGGGGGCUAGCGGUCCCCUACAAUCCUCAACCCGCUCACGAGGAGCCGAAAGAUUCUCUGAGGGAGUUGGCGGGAGGGUCUGUCCACGGGAAAGCGGUGAUGAGGGUUGAGCCCUCUGCGGCGCAUGUCAGUGAAGUCCGUCAGGCCCGGAAGGGAGCAGCGGUAAGCAGACCUCUGCGGGUGUUAGAGGAUCCCUUGACCUGAGCUGGCUACUCGCGAAGCGCCUCGUUCCACCUUUCGAUGAGAUCACGCACAG
rnacentral:SRP_RNA from 1 species